rnacentral:rRNA from 1 species
GGNUCCCUUGUNUNCCAUUUAUAAGGAGUNGAACCUGCCCAGUGACUAUUUUAGUUAAACGGCCGCGGUACCCUGNCCGUGCAAAGGUAGCAUAAUCAUUUGCNUUCNAAUUAAGGGNUAGUAUGAACGGUUUGANGAGAACUUNACUGUCUCCUUAAAAAUAUAUAAAAACUAACCUACAGGUGAAGAGGCCUGUAUACCGCUAAGGGACAAGAAGACCCUAUCGAGCUUGAGCAACAUUAAUAGACAUACACAUUACUUUCCACUACACACAUUCAUUAUUGAAACCCUGUUCUAUUAAUAACAUCUUUAGUUGGGGCGACUGAGGAAAAACCAAAUCUUCCUCUACAACUUAACAAAUUACACUUUUAGAUCCAGCAUUUUCUGAUCAAAGGACAAGUUACCGUAGGGAUAACAGCGCAAUCCUCCUAGAGAGCCCUCAUCGAAAGAAGGGUUUGCGACCUCGAUGUUGGACUAAGAUAUCCUGAAGGUGCACCAGCUUUCAACGGUUGGUCUGUUCGACCAUUAAAAUCUU